UUUCGCGUUCUACCACGACGCCCGGCCCCCGAGAAGCGCACGUACGCUGUAUGUAAAAGAAGCCUGUAAGGCUGUUGCAGCAAUAUGAGUGUUACCCGGCCGGCGCGGCGGCCCCGCAACGCAGUGAGGGCCUGCGGCUUGACGCUGGUGACAUCAUCGCUUACGUGAGACAGAGGAUAACAAUAGUUUUUAAAAAUUUGCUUUUAUGUGCUUUCAUUAAUACUAAUAAAGAUGUUAUAAAUUUAUCA
rnacentral:misc_RNA from 1 species